UGGCAGCAACCCAGCGCUUCCAUUGCUGACCUCUACCGACCUCUACCUGUGGUCCUUCCUCUACUGCAGCAGAGACACUGUUUUCUUCCUUUGUUCUUCCAACCCCAUGGCACAGAAACACUCUCCACUGCGGCCAAGGAUUGCAGGAGAGGUGGCAUCAGUGAUUCAAGACUUCUUUUCCUACCUCUUCAGUGUUUCUUUCAGUGAUCUGAAGUUAAAGCCAGAUCGCCCACUCUUUCCCCUUAAAUAAGACAUCUAGAUGGACUAAUGACUACAUUUGGUAUUUUUGGGGAUGCCAAAUCAAUUGUAGUUUUAUUAGCUCUUAGUAAGAUUACACAUGCAAGCAUCCCAAUAAUCGAAAGUUUAACUAAGCUAUACUAAUAGUUAGGGUUGGUCAAUUUCGUGCCAGCCACCACGUUUGUUCAACGAUUAAAGUCCUACGUGAUCUGAAUUCAGACCAAUAAAACUAGGAAUAGCCCCCUUUCACUUCUGAGUCCCAGGGGAAUAUCACAGAAGUGAAGUGCAAUUCUCAUCAUGUCAUAUCAAGAGCACACACUAACAAACAACAUGACUUAUUGCUGAAUAUUGAACUUGAUCACCUGGCUGAGGUAGUGUUUGCCAGAUUUCUCUGUAAAGGUGAAUAAACUGACACUGGAACAUUCAGGAACUUCUUCAUGGUCAUGGUCACCCAGCUAGAGUGUGGAAGCCAGGCUGUCUGAUUCCAGGAUCUGUGUUCUUAAUCCUAUACAUAAGGAAGCCAUAAUGAGUCAACCACUAUUUUUAAGAUUCACAGAUGUUCGGGUCCAAUUCACCAGAAUGCCAAGUUAUACAGGGUUGUGGAAUCAAAAACUGCAAUUAGUAAUAAAAUGUGAUGCUAUCUAGAAUGUUUUUCAUACAUAUAUAUGCUUCUUGGGACUCUCCCUGCAGGUUAAGAGAAAUUGAGAAACGAUGGAGAAUUUAAGUGUUUUAGAUCCUACAUACAUUAGACUUAAAAAUAGUAACUAUGUACAUGAGUAUUUGUAAACUUAAGAAUGAACAUAACAUGAACCAUGUGGCACCUAUAAAAUGAAAAUAAAAUACCUACAAACCAAAU
rnacentral:lncRNA from 1 species